rnacentral:lncRNA from 1 species
AUGACUCCUAGAGAGCAUUAUGCAUUCUAUCUUUCCAUUGUAUGGGACCUUGAUACUCGACAUCCUCUGAUUCAUAAUACUUGUAAAGAUAGAUUGAGUACCAAAGUCUCUUAGAUUGUGUCAUAUGAUCAUAAUGUAUGCACAAGAAUACAUGACAAUAUAAAAAUAAUAAGUUUUUCAGACAUUACUUGGUAGGUUGUCUCGUUCGGAUGUUGGGAAGUUACUUUUUCUAAAGGAUCCAGUCGCUGCACUAUUGUAAUUGAGCGUGCUGCAAAAUCUGCAAGUAAUUUAUAUCAACCGAGUAAUAUGCAGAAAGAGUGCACCAAGGGAUGCAGACAGUGAUGAUGUUUAAGCAGUAGACAUUAUAACAUUACCAGCCUCUACAUUCCCUGAUUUUUCGUCUUCAUCUUU